ACUUUACAGUAUUAUCGCAAUAGUAAUAUUUAUUGAUGUAUUUUUUUAUAAUAAAUGAAUAAAAUAUUCUUCUUAAUAAUAAUAAAAUAAUACUUUUUAUUAUUUUUAUUGUAUAGUCAUAUUAACUAGGGGGAAAAGUUUUCCUUAUUUUUAGUUCUUAGCCAAUCACAUGCCUCUGUUGUUACGAGAUCACCACUGUUUUUAUCUUUGCUAAAUCUGUAUAUUUUUACAGCAUUUUCUGGAAGUCUGACAGGAAUACAGCAAGCAAAACGGUUUGUUCACAACUCUUUAUGACUGUGCCGAAUCUCUCGGCUCGUUACUUUUCGUCUCAAACCACGAUUAAUAGUUGAAGUUUUGUGUUUGUCCUCAGUUUCACCGGGAGCGAGAACUGCUGGAGUGCAUCUGAUAAUCAAAGACACAUUUGAAAGAUUUCAUUAGUGAUUUAUAAUGGCUUUGGUCUCUUUCCAUGAUCGUAAGGGCUGCUGGGAAGGCAGUUUAUUAUGAGGAGCGUUUAAGGCAAGAAUCACUAAUACUGUCGCCAAGUAUUAAAGCUCAGCAUGUACAUCGUCAUCUCAGCAUGUACAGUGUAAUCUGACAGAUGUGUUAUGGGUAAAUGUUUAGUUUUUAAUUAACUAUAAUCUAACGAACAGGUGUUUCACACAUUUCUGCCUCCGUUUCUUAAAGACUGCAGCGUUUCAGCGUUGGCAUUGAGCUGCAGUUACUCCAUAUGGUGCCGUCGUCAGGAGAUAUAAACAAGGAGGACGAGGGAAAGUAGGACGCUCUAUUGAGGACGAGCUGGUGAAGGUGGGCAGUGCAGAAGACUGACCUGGAUUACUGCACACAAACCCAUGAGAGAUGAAACCAGCAGACCUGCAGCGCGUCCGUCAGAGACUCACGUCAACCUCUCGCUCGCUUUCUAGAGCUUUCUCUCUUCUGUUUGACCCAGAAAGAGUCUCGUCUCUUUCUUAAACUUCAGGACCUUUUAAAAUUAAUAUGAACUGCCUUUAAACUAUGAAGACAUUUAGUUUAAACUAGUGCUGUCAAAUCAAUUAACCUUGAUUAAUCGCAUCUAAUAUUAACUGUUUAAACUAGGAAGAUAUUUAAACUAGUGCAGACAAAUCGAUUAAUCAUGAUUAAUCGCAUCUAAUAUUAAACUAUGAAUACAAUUAGUUUAAACUAGUGCCGUCAAAUCGAUUAUUCACGAUAAAUCGCAUCUAAUAUUAACUGUUUAAACUAGGAAGAUAUUUAAACUAGUGCAGACAAAUCGAUUAAUCAUGAUUAAUCGCAUCUAAUAUUAAACUAUGAAUACAAUUAGUUUAAACUAGUGCCGUCAAAUCGAUUAUUCACGAUAAAUCGCAUCUAAUAUUAACUGUUUUUAAACUAUGAAGACGUUUAGUUUAAACUAGUGCCGUCAAAUCGAUUAAUGCCGAUAAAUCGCAUCUAAUAUUAACCGUUUUUAAACUAUGAAGAUGUUUAGUUUAAAGUAGUGCCGUCAAAUCGAUUAAUCGCGAUAAAUCGCAUCUAAUAUUAACCGUUUUUAAACUAUGAAGACAUUUAGUUUAAAGUAGUGCCGUCAAAUCGAUUAAUGGCGAUAAAUCGCAUCUAAUAUUAACCGUUUUUAAACUAUGAAGACGUUUAGUUUAAACUAGUGCCGUCGAAUCGAUUAUUCGCGAUAAAUCGCAUCUAAUAUUAACCGUUUUUAAACUAUGAAGACGUUUAGUUUAAAGUAGUGCUGUCAAAUCGAUUAAUGGCGAUAAAUCGCAUCUAAUAUUAACCGUUUUUAAACUAUGAAGACGUUUAGUUUAAAAAAAGUGCCGUCAAAAAGAUUAAUCGCGAUAAAUCGCAUCUAAUAUUAACCGUUUUUAAACUAUGAAGACAUUUAGUUUAAAGUAGUGCCGUCAAAUCGAUUAAUCGCGAUAAAUCGCAUCUAAUAUUAACCGUUUUUAAACUAUGAAGACGUUUAGUUUAAACUAGUGCCGUCAAAUCGAUUAAUCGUGAUUAAUCGCAUCUAAUAUUAACUGUUUUAAACUAUGAAGACGUUUAAUUUAAAGUAGUGCUGUCAAAUCGAUUAAUCGCAAUAAAUCGCAUCUAAUAUUAACUGUUUUAAACUAUGAAGACGUUUAGUUUAAACUAGUGCCGUCAAAUUGAUUAAUCGCGAUAAAUCGCAUCUAAUAUUAAGUAUUUUUAAACUAUGAAGACGUUUAGUUUAAACUAGUGCUGUCAAAUCGAUUAAUGGCGAUAAAUCGCAUCUAAUAUUAACCGUUUUUAAACUAUGAAGACGUUUAGUUUAAACUAGUGCCGUCAAAAAGAUUAAUCGCGAUAAAUCGCAUCUAAUAUUAACCGAUUUUAAACUGCGAAGAUAUUUAGUUUAAACUAGUGCUGUCAAAUCGAUUAAUCGCAAUAAAUCGCAUCUAAUAUUAACCGUUUUUAAACUAUGAAGACAUUUAGUUUAAAGUAGUGCUGUCAAAUCGAUUAUUCGCAAUAAAUCACAUCUAAUAUUAACCGUUUUUAAACUAUGAAGACGUUUAGUUUAAACUAGUGCCGUCAAAUCGAUUAUUCGCGAUAAAUCGCAUCUAAUAUUAACCGAUUUUAAACUGCGAAGAUAUUUAGUUUAAACUAGUGCCGUCAAAUCGAUUAAUUGCAAUAAAUCGCAUCUAAUAUUAAGUGUUUUUAAACUAUGAAGACGUUUAGUUUAAACUAGUGCCGUCAAAUAGAUUAAUCACGAAAAAUCACAUCUAAUGUUAACCGUUUUUAAACAUCUCUAUUUCUGUUUCUCAGGCAGAUCAGAGUGAAUCAUCCAACACAAGACGCUCUUGUAUCUCACGCUGCACACAGAUGCUCCUGAAAGCCUGGAGAAAGCAAACGUAAAGCUUCUGCUGUGUUCGCAGUAAAUGAUGCGUCUCACACACAAUCAAUAACCUGACGUGGAUUUAAAGUGCAAAGACUAAACUUGCUCAGGCAGAUGAUGGAAAAAAUGAGGGUGAAGUCUGAAAUAUGAAUAUGACAGUCGUUGAGGAUGGCGGCGAGUUUCUUGGUGCCGCUGUGGAGUCUCUGGGCCGGGACGGCGGGGUUCGGGUCCCUCCAGUCGACGGAGAGCCGGUGGAGCCACAUGUGUGCGUCCUGCAGGUGAGCUCCUCUGAUAC